CUCUUAAAAUUGAUGUGUUAAAAUUUUACACAAAAUAUGUGUAAAAGGAUUCCAACACAUUUUUGUGUUAGAACUGACACAUAAUGUGUAAAUAUUAUGCUUAACUGCUUACACAAUGAAUGUGUAAAACACGUUUACCAGUAAACCAUAAAAUAAAAUGCAUAAUUAUUGUAAUUUAAUGAUGAUUUAUAUUUAAACGAAGUAACAAAAUAAAAUAUAUCUACUGUUAACCAAAAUAUAUCUACUGUUAACCACUACUACCACAUAACAGCCAGCGGGGAUUUUGAUAAGGACUUGGCGAGAUCAAGCUGCGUUGGGCGGGGUACAUUAGCGCUGAGUAUCCGGUGGUUGUAUGGAUCAGAACUCCGAAAGAGUCGGAGCAGAUUUUUUAAUAAACGCUAUCUUUAUUAACCGACCGCACAUUUGAUCUUUUUAUACAUACAUUCUCGCCUAAAUAGCUUUUGAAUAUACAUUUUGUGACACAAUAAGAGUAAUAUUUCAAACAUUAUGCAGGCGUUCUCUUCCAUUGGUGGCUGUUGUAAGUUCACACGAAUCAGCUGAUGACGUUUCACUUGGACAGACAACCACGCAUUGUUGUAUAUUUUUUUGCGUGUGUUAUUAUUAUUUUAUUAUUAUGAAAUUCGUGAACAUUAUUAUUGCGCCUUGGCAGUCUAUUUUGUAUUUGUUUUAUUGAGGAGAAAAAAACAGACAAGAACGCAUAUUGUGUUGCGCCUGCGCUGUGACGUUCUUUUUUCAACCGCAUUUCCAGUCGAGAGGUCAAGAAUGUUCCUGUCUGCAUCAGCUAGCUAUCCAUCUGAAAAAGAAAAGCUGGCACUCGCAAAGGAGAUUGUGUUGUUGGAUUAUGGUCUCAUUUGGUCAAAAUGAGGGACAUGUACUGAGCAUUUUUCUUUAUUUUUUCUUUUUUUUGAUGGGCCAUCACACAGUGGAUUUAUAAAAAUGAGACUACAGAACAUCAGACGGAAGCUUCAAUGGAGUUGAUGUGAGAGGACAUCAUCAAUAAAGAAUGCCAUUGACCAAACCUUCAGUCAUCAAAGAAGAUGGAUACAGGUGGACAUCGAGUUUUCCAGACUUACCGAUAGGAAAGAAGACAUGUUUAUCAGGAAAUUGGAGAUCUAUUGCUGUGUGAAUUCUGCUGUCUCAGACUGGGACUUGGUGGCGGCUGGUACCAGCAUGACCUCUUUGCUUACUAAAUGAUGAAAAGGUGUCUAAAAUCAGCUCAGCCACAGUUGGUUUCCAGCGGUUCUUCAGGACAUGAAUUCGCAAUGAAUGAUUCUCUUGCCUUUCUACUUGAUGUUUACAAUCUGACCUGUGCGGUAGACAGACUUUUCAAAUUUACUAGCUAAGUAACCUUAAGUAUCCCUGCCAACUGUCUUCAGUUUUUUUUUUUGUAUGAAUAUGAUCUACCCUUGUCCCAGUCCUCUUGCAAACAAUCCAAGGCAAUGGAGUUUCAAAAUGGACCGCAAAAUUGCAGUCUGUUUUAACCAAUGCAUGCACUGUGUGGCGGUUUCCCGGACAGGGAUUAGACUAGUCCUAGACUAAAACAUUUUUAAGAGCUGUCCAAACUGAAAACAACUUGCACUGACAUAUCUUAAAAUACAUCAGUGCCCUUUGUUUUGCCUCAAAAUGCACACAGGUAAUGUUUUUAGUAAGGCAUGUUUGUUAAAACCAGAUAUAUUUCCUAAUUAAUCUAAGGCCUAGUCCUGGAUUAAGAUAUCCCUGUCCGGGAAACCACCCCUAAAUAUUUUGUGAUGGAAAUUUCUUUGAAUACACUUGUCAAGUUCA